rnacentral:rRNA from 1 species
AUUGAACGCUGGCGGCAGGCCUAACACAUGCAAGUCGAACGAGUGGCGGACGGGUGAGUAAUGUCUGGGAAACUGCCUGAUGGCGGGGGAUAACUACUGGAAAUGGUAGCUAAUACCGCAUACCAUCAGAUGUGCCCAGAUGGGAUUAGCUGGUAGGUGGGGUAACGGCUCACCUAGGCGACGAUCCCUAGCGGGUCUGAGAGGAUGACCAGCCACACUGGAACUGAGACACGGUCCAGAGUCCUACGGGAGGCAGCAGUGGGGAAUAUUGCACAAUGGGCGCAAGCCGGAUGCAGCCAUGCCGCGUGUAUGAAGAAGGCCUUGGGGUUGUAAAGCACUUUCAGCGGGGAGGCGUUACCCGCAGAAGAAGCACCGGCUAACUCCGUGCCAGCAGCCGCGGUAAUAC